rnacentral:rRNA from 1 species
ACACAUGCAAGUCGAGGGGAAACGACAUCGAAAGCUUGCUUUUGAUGGGCGUCGACCGGCGCACGGGUGAGUAACGCGUAUCCAACCUGCCCACCACUUGGGGAUAACCUUGCGAAAGUAAGACUAAUACCCAAUGACGUCUCUAGAAGACAUCUGAAAGGGAUUAAAGAUUUAUCGGUGAUGGAUGGGGAUGCGUCUGAUUAGCUUGUUGGCGGGGUAACGGCCCACCAAGGCUACGAUCAGUAGGGGUUCUGAGAGGAAGGUCCCCCACAUUGGAACUGAGACACGGUCCAAACUCCUACGGGAGGCAGCAGUGAGGAAUAUUGGUCAAUGGACGAGAGUCUGAACCAGCCAAGUAGCGUGCAGGAUGACGGCCCUAUGGGUUGUAAACUGCUCUUAUAAGGGAAUAAAGUGAGCCUCGUGAGGCUUUUUGCAUGUACCUUAUGAAUAAGGACCGGCUAAUUCCGUGCCAGCAGCCGCGGUAAUACGGAAGGUCCGGGCGUUAUCCGGAUUUAUUGGGUUUAAAGGGAGCGUAGGCCGGAGAUUAAGCGUGUUGUGAAAUGUAGAUGCUC